UGCCUAACACAUGCAAGUCGAACGGAUCUUGGCCUCUAGCAAUACAGGUCAGGGUUAGUGGCGCACGGGUGAGUAACACGUGAGUGAUCUGCCUCCGAGACUGGGAUAACCUGCCGAAAGGCGGGCUAAUACCGGAUGAGACCACAGUACCUACGGGUGCCGGGGUCAAAGAUGGCCUCUAUUUAUAAGCUAUCACUUGGAGAUGAGCUCGCGGCCCAUCAGCUAGUUGGCGGGGUAAUGGCCCACCAAGGCUAUCACGGGUAGCUGGUCUGAGAGGACGACCAGUCACACUGGAACUGAGAUACGGUCCAGACUCCUACGGGAGGCAGCAGUGGGGAAUAUUGCGCAAUGGGCGAAAGCCUGACGCAGCAACGCCGCGUGGGUGAUGAAGGCCUUCGGGUCGUAAAGCCC
rnacentral:rRNA from 1 species